rnacentral:lncRNA from 1 species
CUUUCUGGCCCAGCGAGAGCGCCCAGGGGGUGGGCGUCUUGCCCCGGGCGUCGAGAGUUUGGGGCCGUCCCGUACGCGGCGCGCCGCAACCCAGUCCCCGCGACCACAGCAGCCUGCUCCCCACCGCGCUUGCAGAGCCCGGACGCGCGUGAGUCGGGGGCCCGCAGAGGCCUCACCCUUGGAGGUCGCCGCUUGUCAGGCCUGACUGCUGUUGGCGCCCACCCCGCCGCCCCCGAGGGGCCGCUCGAGGCCGGACUGCUGCUUUGCCGUGGCAGGCCCCACCCGGGACGUGGCGCUGCGGGCCGGGGCGGUCCAGCUGUGAGUCAGGGGUUAAUGUGGCGGGAUAACUCUCUGCAGAGGGAAGGAGCUCGCAAAGAAGGGUGGAGGAGGGGAAACCGCAAUGGGGAACUGUCACCGAGGCUAGUGGACUCUCCCUGCGCUUUUUUUUUUUUUUUUUUUUUUGGCAUGUACCCCAAAAGCCAGAGGUCGAGGCCCAGAAAAAUCUGGAAAGGAAUUCCACCGUGUUUGCUCCUUACAGACCAGACAAACCGUAGAUCUUUCAGAGGUACAGCGACUCUCCUGGUUCCCUAAGAUAGUCUCGACUUUUCCUUUCCCUUUGCGGCCCUCUCACUUGACUACUGCAGCCAACCAUACCCCUGAUUAGGGGGUGCAGCACAUCAGCCUCUGCCCCCAAAAACUACCCUGCGAAAGAUCCUUUUUCUCAGGUUCGUUCUCCACAACCGAACAGAUUGGAACUCCACUGAAUAAGAGAGAACAAAAAAGCAAUUAGUUAAAUGAAGCGUAAAGAAGCCUUAUAAAGCCCCAUUGCUGCCUCAGGCACCCAAUCUAGUCAUAACCUAAGAGGUCCAGUUCAGAAAUCUCCCCUCCCCUUUUAAUUCUCAGGCAAUCCCUACUCCCUGCCAAAGGAGAACCCAGUUACUGAACAUCGGAUGAGACCAUGGAUAGUAAAUUGGGAGUGAAGGUCCAUACCUGGGUCUCAGAAGCACAGUACAGGUUUUUAGAACAAGCCACCUUAUACAAGUUAAAAUUCAUGAAGGAAUGGAUACAGGUUAAGUUACACCAGCCUCCUGAGUAUGACAGCAACAUUCCUUCAGGGAUUAAAGAAAAUGCUUCAGAAGAUUGGAACACUGCUCAGCCUUCCCAACCUUCUUUUACCACUGAUGUUUCUACCUUAGUGAUCUUCCUCCUUAUUUUAAUGCUUCUUUCUCUUUACAAUUAAAAGUUCAUAAAAUCUUUCAACAUUAUUUUUCACUACAAAAGUCUGAAGUUCUCUGUGAAAUGCCUACAUGUAAGAAUUAAGAUAGAUUUUAAAGACUGUCAGUCUCAAAAUUCCAUGCUCAUCAGUUAGUGCAUGAUAUUAAAUUAUGCUUUUUUCCUCCUUUUAAAUAUACCAACAUUAUAUUG